rnacentral:tRNA from 1 species
AGGAUAAUAAUUUAAUAAAAAUAUUUAAAUUGCAUUUAAAAUACAUUGGUAAUCAAUUUAUCUU